rnacentral:rRNA from 1 species
CCUACGGGUGGCAGCAGUGGGGGAUAUUGCACAAUGGGGGGAACCCUGAUGCAGCGACGCCGCGUGGGUGAAGGAGUGCUUCGGCAUGUAAAGCUCUAUCGGCAGGGAAGAAGCAAGACGGUACCUGACUAAGAAGCCCCGGCUAACUACGUGCCAGCAGCCGCGGUAAUACGGAGGGGGCGAGCGUUAUCCGGAUUCACUGGGUGUAAAGGGAGCGUAGACGGCCAUGCAAGCCAGGGGUGAAAGCCCGGGGCCCAACCCCGGGACUGCCCUUGGAACUGCAUGGCUGGAGUGCGGGAGGGGCAGGCGGAAUUCCUGGUGUAGCGGUGAAAGGCGUAGAUAUCAGGAGGAACACCGGCGGCGAAGGCGGCCUGCUGGGCUUUAACUGACGCGGAGGCUCGAAAGCGUGGGGAGCAAACAGGAUUAGAUACCCGAGUAGUC